AUGGAUGAUUACAUCCAGAGGCUUCAAGGGUUGGGCUUGCUGGAUUCGAGGGGGAAUGCAAUCCGCGAGUUCAAUCUGACCAAUGACAGUGCCGCUCCGGCAGCAGCAGCGCGUCCGGUAUACCCGACGGUGGUAGAUGUCAAACUGAAGACGGAAUUGAAGAAGAUGAACAAGAACUUCAAGCAGCUGAUUGAGUUGAAGAAGCAAUCCAAUCUGAUAGCUUUAGGAAUACUUGAUCUAGGAAUUUUUUACUUGAUGGCCAUCUCUCAUUAG
rnacentral:rRNA from 1 species